rnacentral:rRNA from 1 species
GACAGAGGGUGCAAACGUUGUUCGGAAUUACUGGGCGUAAAGCGUGUGUAGGCGGCCAUGUAAGCGGGUGUGAAAGCCCUGGGCUUAACCCAGGAAGUGCACUCGAUACUGCGUGGCUUGAGUAUCGGAGAGGUUGGUGGAAUUCUCGGUGUAGAGGUGAAAUUCGUAGAUAUCGAGAGGAACACCGGUGGCGAAGGCGGCCAACUGGACGAAUACUGACGCUGAGACACGAAAGCGUGGGGAGCAAACAGG